rnacentral:rRNA from 1 species
UAAAUGACGAGUUGAUCCGGCUCAGGAUGAACGCUGGCGGCAGUGCUCACACAGUGCAAGUCGAGCGAUGAAGUUCUCCUCGGUGAAACGGGAAUUAGCGUCGGGCACGGGUAGGUAGUAUACACGUGGGUAACCUGCUCAUAGAGUGGAAUUAGCCUUCCGAAAAGGCAGAUAAUACCGCAUAAUGUGAAGAUGGCAUAUUCAUCUAUACCAAAGGAGCAUCCGCUAUGAGAUGGACCGCGGCGCAUUAGCUAGUGGUGGUCGAAGGUGGUACGGCCUACCAAGGCGACGAUGCGUAGCCGACCUGAGAGGGUGAUCGGCACAACAUGCGGACUGAGACACGGCCAGACUCAUACGGGAGCACGCAGUGCGGGAAUAUUGCACGACAAUGAAACCCUGAUGCAGCAACGCCGCGUGAGUGAUGAAGGUUUCGAAUCGUAAAGCUCGGUGUUUGCGUGGUGAGGUGUAAGAUAAUGACGGUGACCAAGAGGAAAGGACGCACGGCUAACUACGUGCCAGCAGCCGCGUAAUACGUAGGUGGCGAGCGUUAUCCGGAUUCUACUAGCGCCGUAAAAGGAGCGUAGGCGGAUGAUUAAGUGGGAUGUGAAAUACCCGGGCUCUAACUUGAGGGGCUGCAUCCAUUAUUUUAUCUGGUUAUCUAGAGUGCAGGGUGAGAGGGGCGGACACAAAGAGAGAGUGGAAUCUCUAGUGUAGCGGUGAAUGAAAUGCGCUAGAGAUUAGAAGAACACCAGUGGCGAAGGCGACUCUGCUGGACUGUAACUGACGCUGAGCUGCGAAAGCGUGGGGACCAAACAGGAUUAGAUUAGAUACCUGGUAGUCCACGCCGUAAACGAUGCAAUACUAGGUGUGGGCGUUUCAACACCUCCGUGCCGCCGCACUAACGCAUUAAGUAUCCGCCUGUGGGGAGUACGGUCGCAAGAUUAAAACUCAAAGGAAUGGACGGGGACCCGCACAAGUACGUUCGCGCUGAGGCAUGUGGUUUAAUAUCGAAGCAACGCGUAAGAACCUUACCUACACUUGACAUCCUUGCAUUACUCUUAAUCGAGGAAAUCUCUUCGGCGGAACAAGGUGGACAGGUGGUUGCAUGGUGUCGUCAGCUCGUGCCGUGAGCUGUGUGGGUUAUAGUCCCGCAACGAGCGCAACCCUUGUCGUAGUACUAUCCAUAAGCUUGAGGACUCUAGCGAGACUGCUGGGUUAAGACAGGCGGAGAGGUGGGAUGACGGUCAAAUCACUCAUGCCCCUUAUGUUGUAGAGGCUUACACACGUGCUACAUAUGCUGUACAGAGAGAUGCAAUACCGCGAGGUGGAGCCAAACUUUAAAAACCAGUGCUCAGUUCCGGAUUGUAGCGAAACUCGCUACAUGAAGCUGAGUUACUAGUAAUCACGCGAAUCAGAAUGUCGCGGUAGAAUACGUUCCCGGGUCUGUACACACACGCGUCACACCAUGAGAGUGGCAGAUACCAGCCGAAGCUAAAGCCCGUGAGCGAACCGCAAGGAGGCAGCGGCGAAGGUAGGUCAGCGAGUGGGUGUGAAGUCUCGUCACAAGGUAGUCCUGUAGGAGCACCUGCGGUCUGGAUCACCUCCUU